rnacentral:misc_RNA from 1 species
AAGUCGUAACAAGGUUUCCGUAGGUGAACCUGCGGAAGGAUCAUUAACACGUAUCCAACGUUAAACCCCCCGUGAACCUUCAUUGUGCUCCCCCAUUCCGUUAGGACGCGGCAAUCCCUGGUAAAUCAUCGCCGAACAGUUUUGAUUCAGGGACCUCUGCAUGGAGUGGGCAGCAGCGCGAGGCAAGUGGCCUGGCAUUCGAAAGAAUGGCGCAGUAACGAUCGCUAGAGGCCGACACGGCCGGCGACCGGGUCACCCCCCUAUCACCUUUGCAUGAAAACGGGCCUGCGCUUAAUUGUGCGGCCACCAAACUCGAACAACUGUUAACAAUGGAUAUCUUGGUUCUC